rnacentral:rRNA from 1 species
UACGUAGGGUGCAAGCGUUAAUCGGAAUUACUGGGCAUAAAGCGUGCGCAGGCGGUUAUGUAAGACAGAUGUGAAAUCCCCGGGCUCGACCUGGGAACUGCAUUUGUGACUGCAUAGCUAGAGUACGGUAGAGGGGGAUGGAAUUCCGCGUGUAGCAGUGAAAUGCGUAGAUAUGCGGAGGAACACCGAUGGCGAAGGCAAUCCCCUGGACCUGUACUGACGCUCAUGCACGAAAGCGUGGGGAGCAAACAGG